rnacentral:lncRNA from 1 species
AAAUAGUAUGCUUGUGAUUAAUCAAAUAACUAUUUUUUUGUAAUUGAAUUAUAAUUUACAUGUUUUAUCGAAUUAAUAAUGAAUUUAUAUAUGAAUUUAACAAUAUUUCUCAAUUUAUUUCAAACAUAAUCCGAAUAAGUUUAGAUUUUAUGAUUUAUUUUUCAAAAUUUACAAUAUAAUUGCACAUAAUGAUUGUCAAUAUAAAUAUUGUCAUGAGUAUGAAAUAAAAAUCUUAUGAUGUAAU